GAUGAACGCUGGCGGCGUGCCUAAUACAUGCAAGUCGAGCGAACGGACGAGAAGCUUGCUUCUCUGAUGUUAGCGGCGGACGGGUGAGUAACACGUGGAUAACCUACCUAUAAGACUGGGAUAACUUCGGGAAACCGGAGCUAAUACCGGAUAAUAUUUUGAACCGCAUGGUUCAAAAGUGAAAGACGGUCUUGCUGUCACUUAUAGAUGGAUCCGCGCUGCAUUAGCUAGUUGGUAAGGUAACGGCUUACCAAGGCAACGAUGCAUAGCCGACCUGAGAGGGUGAUCGGCCACACUGGAACUGAGACACGGUCCAGACUCCUACGGGAGGUAGCAGUAGGGAAUCUUCCGCAAAGGGCGAAAGCCUGACGGAGCAACGCCGCGUGAGUGAUGAAGGUCUUCGGAUCGUAAAACUCUGUUAUUAGGGAAGAACAUAUGUGUAAGUAACUGUGCACAUCUUGACGGUACCUAAUCAGAAAGCCACGGCUAACUACGUG
rnacentral:rRNA from 1 species